CCUACGGGAGGCUGCAGUGAGGCAUAUUGGUCAAUGGACGAGAGUCUGAACCAGCCAAGUAGCGUGAAGGAUGACUGCCCUAUGGGUUGUAAACUUCUUUUAUAUGGGAAUAAAAUGUUCCACGUGUGGGAUUUUGUAUGUACCAUAUGAAUAAGGAUCGGCUAACUCCGUGCCAGCAGCCGCGGUAAUACGGAGGAUCCGUGCGUUAUCCGGAUUUAUUGGGUUUAAAGGGAGCGUAGGUGGAUUGUUAAGUCAGUUGUGAAAGUUUGCGGCUCAACCGUAAAAUUGCAGUUGAAACUGGCAGUCGUGAGUACAGUAGAGGUGGGCGGAAUUCGUGGUGUAGCGGUGAAAUGCUUAGAUAUCACGAAGAACUCCGAUUGCGAAGGCAGCUCACUGGACUGCAACUGACACUGAGGCUCGAAAGUGUGGGUAUCAAACAGGAUUAGAUACCCUGGUAGUC
rnacentral:rRNA from 1 species